rnacentral:lncRNA from 1 species
UCACCAUACUCUUUUUAAAAGCAAUCCACACAAACGGAGCUUCUUCUAUAUAUAUAUAUAGAGUCCGGCUACUAUACUAUCGAUAGUACCAAGCCCUGGGUACUAUUGAGUUUUCUACCGUUAGAUCUACCAUUUGAUCAUUUCCACCCGUUAGAUUAUAUUAUUAAACCAACCACCCACUUAACCCUAUGGGACCACUAUCAAUUUAACCGGGGACCACUAUCAUCCUAACCGCACAUCUUUUCAUCCAACGGCCGAAAACUCAAUAGUACCAAGGGCUUGGUACUAUUGAUAGUAUAGUAGCAUAAUUCUAUAUAU